rnacentral:rRNA from 1 species
UCGACUGUUUACCAAAAACAUAGCCAUUAGAAAAUAUUAAUAAAGGUGAAACCUGCUCCAUGAUUAAAAAUAAAUAAAUAACAUUUAAUUAAAUAGCUGCGGUAACCGUGACCGUACUAAGGUAGCAUAAUAAAUCGUCUAUUAAUUGUAGAAUAGAAUGAAGGUCUAACGAAAAUUCAACUGUCUCAAAAAUAAAUUUGUGAAAAUUGAAAGUGUGUAAAUAUUCACACUAAAACAGCAAGACGAUAAGACCCUGCGAACUUUACAAAAAUAUUUAAACAAUAAAUCUUUAAACACAAAGUUUCGUUGGGGCAACGACCUUAUAACAGAACUAAGGUUAAAAACAAUCUCAAAAAUAAAGAUAAAUAAAUCAAUAUAAAAAAGAUAAAACCCGUUACAAAAACCUUUAAACACAACGUAAAAACAUAAAAGUUCCGCAGGGAUAACAGCGUAAUAUUAUUUCAAGAAAAUAUCUUAAAUAAAGAUUGCGACCUCGAU